rnacentral:rRNA from 1 species
ACUUAAAUUGAAGAGUUUGAUCAUGGCUCAGAUUGAACGCUGGCGGCAGGCCUAACACAUGCAAGUCGAACGGCAGCACAGAAGAGCUUGCUCUUUGGGUGGCGAGUGGCGGACGGGUGAGUAAUGUCUGGGAAACUGCCCGAUGGAGGGGGAUAACUACUGGAAACGGUAGCUAAUACCGCAUAACGU